rnacentral:rRNA from 1 species
ACGCUGGCGGCAGGCCUAACACAUGCAAGUCGAGCGGUAACAGGAAGUAGCUUGCUACUUCGCUGACGAGCGGCGGACGGGUGAGUAAUGCCUGGGAAUAUGCCUUGAUGUGGGGGAUAACUAUUGGAAACGAUAGCUAAUACCGCAUAAUGCCUACGGGCCAAAGAGGGGGAUCUUCGGACCUCUCGCGUCAAGAUUAGCCCAGGUGGGAUUAGCUAGUUGGUGGGGUAAAGGCUCACCAAGGCGACGAUCCCUAGCUGGUCUGAGAGGAUGAUCAGCCACACUGGAACUGAGACACGGUCCAGACUCCUACGGGAGGCAGCAGUGGGGAAUAUUGCACAAUGGGGGAAACCCUGAUGCAGCCAUGCCGCGUGUAUGAAGAAGGCCUUCGGGUUGUAAAGUACUUUCAGCAGUGAGGAAGGUGGUAGUGUUAAUAGCAMMAUCAUUUGACGUUAGCUGCAGAAGAAGCACCGGCUAACUCCGUGCCAGCAGCCGCGGUAAUACGGAGGGUGCGAGCGUUAAUCGGAAUUACUGGGCGUAAAGCGCAUGCAGGCGGUCUGUUAAGCAAGAUGUGAAAGCCCGGGGCUCAACCUCGGAACAGCAUUUUGAACUGGCAGACUAGAGUCUUGUAGAGGGGGGUAGAAUUUCAGGUGUAGCGGUGAAAUGCGUAGAGAUCUGAAGGAAUACCGGUGGCGAAGGCGGCCCCCUGGACA